rnacentral:rRNA from 1 species
AUUGAACGCUGGCGGCAGGCCUAACACAUGCAAGUCGAACGGUAACAGGAAGCAGCUUGCUGCUUCGCUGACGAGUGGCGGACGGGUGAGUAAUGUCUGGGAAACUGCCUGAUGGAGGGGGAUAACUACUGGAAACGGUAGCUAAUACCGCAUAACGUCGCAAGACCAAAGAGGGGGACCUUAGGGCCUCUUGCCAUCGGAUGUGCCCAGAUGGGAUUCGCUAGUAGGUGGGGUAACGGCUCACCUAGGCGACGAUCCCUAGCUGGGCUGAGAGGAUGACCAGCCACACUGGAACUGAGACACGGUCCAGACCACUACGGGAGGCAGCAGUGGGGAAUAUUGCACAAUGGGCGCAAGCCUGAUGCAGCCAUGCCGCGUGUAUGAAGAAGGCCUUCGGGUUGUAAAGUACUUUCAGCGGGGAGGAAGGGAGUAAAGUUAAUACCUUUGCUCAUUGACGUUACCCGCAGAAGAAGCGCCGGCUAACUCCGUG